GAGCAGCUGGAGUCUGUGGAGAGCGGACGGUGAUUCGCCCAGACUGUUCCACAUGGAUGGAAGGUUUUGCUCUAUGGAGAAACUGAAGACCCGAGAGGUUGGAGAUUCUGCCUAGUCAAAGACUCAGAAGAGGCAGCACUGAGUACAGAAUUGAAGACUUUCAGAUGCCAGGGCCUGUGCUCUUACACCUAGAAGAGCCCAGUGCAUAGCUAGCUCCUGGAUCCUCUUGUCUCCUCUGACGUCUUGUACUUACAGAUUUUACGUGAGUGCUAGGGAUUCGAACUCAGGUCUCACGUGCAUACAACUAGCACUCUUACCCAUUGAGCCCUCUCCCCAGCUCCCAUGUUCUUAUCAUAACUUCACCACAGUCCUGUGAGCUUAUACUGAGGAUUUUAUUUCCAUUUCACAUAUGUGAAAACAGUCCAGAGACUUAGGACGACUUCCCAGCACCCAUUUAGUUCCUAAGUGGGCCCUCUGAGUCUGUAAUCCCAUAACGGGUGCCACCCUCAAUUAUCACAGGC